AAAAAAAAAAACAAAACUCUACACUUUCUAAACAUGGCUCCCCCUCAUUCGCUUAGAAAAUUUUCCGAUUUGCCUCUCUUUUCUCUCCAUGGCAAAAAACUUUCCCUUUGAUUUACUUCAAUCUUUAAGCCACAAUAAUAAAAAAUACACCAAUUAGAUCAAUUCUCUUCGUGUUCAAUAUGUUACAAAACCCAAUUACUUCAUUCUAUUUGUUUUCAGUUUCUCUGAUUAAUCUUAUCUUACUGCCUAUUCAUUGAAACCCUAAAUUGCCAAUUACAUUCACAGUUUGCUUUAGUUUGCUACAGUAAGUUCAAUUCUCCCUUUCACUAGCUUUAAUUCGUUAUAUGUUUCAUUUGAGAUUGUGGAAUUUUUUUGUUUGGGUUUUUAUCUAUGAUUUGGUUUGGGAUUUUGGUUUUUCAAGUAGAUAAGAGCUGAGAGGACCGAUGUAAACAAUUGCCAUGAUUUAAUUUGAUCGAUUAACCUCAAAUCGCUACCUAUCAUUGAGACCCUAAAUACCGUUUCAGAUCGCCGUUAAAAUUGAGUUCGCAACUAUAAGUUCAGUUGUCCCUCUCUCUCUCACUCACUCUUGUUCAUGUGUUAUAUGAGUUGGUUUUUCUUUUUCUAUUAGUGUGUUAUUUUUUGUGCUUACUCCAUUUAGUCCAAAUGUUUUCCUAACAUAAAUCCUCUUUCCCACAAAUAGUGUUUACGUUGAAUAAACUCAAUUUCUAGAAUGAAACAUUUGAUAACUGAUAUCUCAUACGUGAUAAUAAUGUAUAUUUUUUGGGAAUACAUUGGGAAGUAAGUUAGGAAGUAAAUAUACUAACACUUUUUUGUUUUGCUUAUUUGAUUUGCUGGAUUUAAUAGUGCCACUGGAUUUUUUGUUGUAGCACUCUAUGGACAAUCAAUUUGAUGUCAACUACCCACGACAUCUAUUGCUAUGCUUAUCAAUAAACCAAUGGGAAAUUAUCAUUCGUAUACCCUAUAGUUGCUCUGUUAUAAAAAAUACUAUUAACACUUUGAGGGUGUAUCAAUCGUCAACUAAAAUGUAUUUGCCGUCCACCAAACCGUUACUUGCCGUUUAAAUAGGAUGACACCAGAGGAGUAAUUUGGUCUUUUCAUAUGAUACAAGUGAUAAUAAAAGAAUUUAAGGGUAAAAUUGUCAAUUCACUAUAAUUCUGUUAACUUUCAAAUGGUAGCUAACUGUUUGGUGAUCGGCAUAUAGCUUUUGUCAAUUUAGAGUGGAUGAUUGAUAUACCUUCAAAGUAUUGUAGUAUUUUUAAUAAUAGAGCAAUUAUAGGGUAUACGAUUGAUAAUUUCCCUAAACCAAUUAACUAUACUUGGGAGUGGAUGGGUCAGUUAUCUUGUUAAUUUACUUGUUCUCUCCUUCUAUACAUGACUAGCAACUUGUUUGUAAAAUAAAAAAAAAAAAUCAGGUUUGAUUGUUUGUAUUUUCAUCUGAGUGACUUGAAAGAAAAAGAAAAUAGUAGAUUAUGAAUGAGAGGAACUUGUGGAAGUGUUUGUGAAAAUGUUAAAUUUAAGUGAUAAGUUCUUGCUUCAGCUUUAUUAAUAAUUAACUUUUAGGCAAUUAUAUAUCGAAGAAAGAAAACUCAUAUGAUGUUUGACAUUUAUUUGUUGGUGAUUGUUGCAGCAUUUUGCUUAGGAAAAACACAAAUGUUGAUUUGAUGGCCAAGGAGCCUGGUAAGUUCAUUACUCUGUUUAAUUUUCUUUUAUUUUUUAAAUAUUUUACAUCUUUUUGUUUCUUGAAAGAUUAAUUAAAUUUCGAAGCCUGUUAAGUUCAUUGCUAUGUAUUAAAUUUCUUUUCUUUUUUAAAAAAAAAAAUAUUUUACAUGUUUCCUUUCUUGAAAGCUUAAUUAUAGAUCAGUGUUGAGAGUUUAAUCUCCCUUGGAUAUGCUAAAUCAGUGAUUAUGCCUUUGACAUCAGAUGAGAAGAUGACACCUAUAUGCAGUUAUCUAUAAAAAUCUUGUUAGCACACUGAAUUAGCUUGUCAUUUGAAUUAUUACUUCUAAUUGAUAAAUUUCUGGUUGAAGGAGCUAAGAGUUUUCUAAUUGUUAGGUUCAAUGUUAGAAUAUGUAGGUUGUUGAGUAAUCAUUAAUCACGCACGCUUUGUGCCUUUUAUUCCUUUUUACUAUUUCAAUAUUUCAAGUUCCAAUCACUUUUUGAUGCUUAAUGAAAUAUAUUUAUCCAAGAGCAUGAAAACUUUUUCGCUUGGAAUUUUUUAUACUUGGCCACUAAUAUUUUACAAUCCGUCACUCAUGGACUGAUAGCACAACAUCAAAUUCUCCGACGUUUUAAUAGUUGCUACUUUUAUUUUCCUUAAUAAUUACAUUCUUAAAAAGUAGUAAAUGUAAUCAAAAUAAAUGAAAACAACUUGCUGCUUGUGCAAGCUUAUUGGAAUCUAAUACUUAUUGCUCUCAUUAUGUGCAUCUAUGGUUUUUCCCCCAUUACUUUGUCCAUAUUUUGAUUUCAAAUUAUAAUGUAUUCUCUUUUAUAAAUGACACAUUAAUUGGGCUUUUAUUGUUUAAUUCCCUUUUUAGUAGCAUAUUGUUGGGUUUAGAUAAUUUGCUUUAUCGUAUUUCUAGGUUCUUAUUUAGUUUAGGAUUAGAAGUUGAGUUGCAUAUGAUAAUUAAUAUUGGUGUUGGAAUUAAAGUACAGCUUUGCAGGAAAAUUAACUGCUGGAUGGUUUUGCAUGGAUUCAAGUGUUAUUGGAAUUGGUGUGCAUUUUUGUUGAAAAAUUAGCUGCGGGAUUGAAAGAAAGUGAUUCUGCUUACUGUUGGGCCGGAAUUUGAACACAGAAUGCCUAGACUUGGAUUGUUUAUUGUAUUGUGAAUGGAUGCAUAAUUUUUUUUAAUUGAUAUAUUUUAAAGGUAUAGUGACACUGGUGGUUCGUAACUUUUAAUUUGUUAGAUAUUUGGUUGUACUUUGGAUUUUAUUUAAUAUUACAUUUUAUAUUAAUUUAAAAAUUUAACUUCUAAAAAU
rnacentral:lncRNA from 1 species